AUGGGGGCAACCCUGAUCCAGCAAUGCCGCGUGUGUGAAGAAGGCCUUCGGGUUGUAAAGCACUUUGUCCGGAAAGAAAUCGCACUUACUAAUAUUAGGUGUGGAUGACGGUACCGGAAGAAUAAGGACCGGCUAACUACGUGCCAGCAGCCGCGGUAAUACGUAGGGUCCAAGCGUUAAUCGGAAUUACUGGGCGUAAAGCGUGCGCAGGCGGUUCUGCAAGACCGAUGUGAAAUCACCGGGCUUAACCUGGGAAUUGCAUUGGUGACUGCACGGCUAGAGUGUGUCAGAGGGGGGUAGAAUUCCACGUGUAGCAGUGAAAUGCGUAGAGAUGUGGAUGAAUACCGAUGGCGAAGGCAGCCCCCUGGGAUAACACUGACGCUCAUGCACGAAAGCGUGGGGAGCAAACAGGAUUAGAUACCCUGGUAGUCCACGCCCUAAACGAUGUCAACUAGUUGUUGGGGAUUCAUUUCCUUAGUAACGUAGCUAACGCGUGAAGUUGACCGCCUGGGGAGUACGGUCGCAAGAUUAAAACUCAAAGGAAUUGACGGGGACCCGCACAAGCGGUGCUAUGAUGUGGAUUAAUUCGAUGCAACGCGAAAAACCUUACCUACCCUUGACAUCCCACUAACGAAGCAGAGAUGCAUUAGGUGCUCGAAAGAGAAAGUGGACACAGGUGCUCG
rnacentral:rRNA from 1 species